CAGUCCCAGAAGGAGUCAUCCAACUCUUCAAGCAAGUAAUCUGUAUUGGAUGUUCCCGUCAAGUCCGUGGCUUGGGGAGAAGAUUACAAUGAGACAGAUUGAAGUCACAACCAUAUACAGGCUGGGUGAGAGAAGAUAUCGUCCUAUUAUCUUGAAGGAGGCCUUCACAAUCACUUGAAUUCAAAUGUAUUCUUUUAGCCUUCCCUGUUCAAAACCAACAUAGUGAAAUUAUACAAUAGCAUAUUAAAAAACGUAAGACACAUGGAGUAAAGUUAUGAGGAAAAAAGACUGAUUAUUUUAGUAAUAUAUCUACUUUAGAUGUUGGCAUGAACAGAAUUUUUGUAACAUGUACCAAAAAAGAAGCAUAUUAAAAAUCAUUGUUAAUAUGAAUCACAAACAUUUUAUAUGUAAAGAACAUGCUGCUAACUCACUAACAACCUUAAGGGUAACAAAUAAAACAGUAUGUAUCAGUAUAUAACACCAAUAUUUAAAAUUCACGAUAGGCCCAGACAUUAAGCUUCAGAAGAAACCUUUUUAUGUUGGACUGUUUUUAUGAACUUCAUUACUUCUGGCCCUUUACUUACAUCAACAUUUGGACAUUAAGUUCUUACUAUUUUCCUGUCUAUUUUUUCCUGUUUUGAAAUAACUAUAAAAUGUGUUAUAUUUUGCAAUAUACCUGCUGAACCUUUCAUCUUCAAAAGUAUUUUGAAGAUGUACAUUGUUUCAAGUAUUUGAUAUAUAUUGUGGUGAACUGCUCUUUGUGAUACUUUUUCAGACUGCUGAUAUAACCUGUGUAAGUUAAUUACAAUAGUCCUAUGAGCUUCUUUGACCUACCUAAGCUUGUGCAAUCAAUAUGGGCAUCUGUAUGCACUAAUUAACCCUUAACGUGUAUGCUAAAAGAAAGGAAAAAGAGACAAAAAUGAAAAAAAAAAUGCCUGAAGAAGAUUUGGCACAAAUGGAAAAACUAUAAAAAUAUUGCAGCUAAUUCAACAUCAAAAGCCUAAUUGUGUCUAUUCUAAAACAGAUUAGAAGAGCAGACAAUUGUACCACUAUUUCAGUAUGCUUUUACACAUAUGGGAGAAAACAACUGCCAAGAAUUAACAUGGCUGUGCUCCUGUAUGGUGUCACAACAGCACAGCCACUUUGGAUCCCUGCUCUCUCUUUUCUAGGAGACAACCUUGACAUUAUAUUUGGAAGUGCUUAAAAAAAAAAAAAAAAAAAAAAAAAAAAAAUAUUAUAUAUAUA